CACUCUGAAUGCUGAAUAGCAAGAGAAAGUGGGACACGUUGGAACUAGCUUGCCUCUGAGCCAACAGGGUGUCAGUAUUUUAACUUCAUUUGUAUGGUACAAAUGAGAAGGAGAUAAAUGUCAUGUUCUAGCAAGAGUCUAUUAGUGCCUAUUAACUACAACAUGGGAGGACUGCACAUCCUGACCAUGGUAGAGGCAGAAUGGAAGAGCUACACCCAAAAUCUGAGCCUACAUUCUUUCUGUGAAGGAUGCAGGAAUUGUUGUCUGUAGAAGCUGAGAGAAACAGGGCUGCAGAGAGUACCCUGGACAUGUCGUUCUGGGACGUGCUGACAACUGACAAUUUGAACUGGAUGUGCUCCAUCAAACACUCUGGGAAGAAGACAAGUUUGUCUGGGCCAGCAGGCUCAGCCUCUGGAGUGGACACACAAGGGGCCCAGCUGGGGUUCAGCUUGGUUCUUCCUUCCUCUUUAUAGCAAUGUGCUCUGUGCUGCUCCAAGGAGAAAGGAGCCCUCAGGGCUGGCACCAGGCAUUGUACUAGAUAUGUACCAUUUCCUUGUCCAGUUAAGCUCUUCAAGGUAGGCAUUCGAGCUGGGUUUUUUGUUUUUUGUUUUUAUUUUUUAGCAGAGAUGAGUAUGUUCUGAAGGUCACAGAGAUGAGACUCUAAAACAAACCUGACUCUGAAAUGUCAAUCAGAGCACUUGAGAUCAUACACAGGGAACUGAAUUUGGACUAGGUCCUGGGCAAAUGCUCCCGAAUACAUUAAGGCAAGGGCUGCUCAACCUGUGGAAACCACUGUUGGACAACAGCACUCACAAAAGCUUCUAACUUCAUUCUCCCCAUUCAGACCUGGAAAUAAGUCUUAGAAAGCAAAGGUCAGUCAUAAUCCCUCACCUGACUUGGGUGUGCUUUGUUUUGUUUUGUUUUGUUUUGUUUUGUUUUCACUAUUAAAGCUACUCCCAUCUCUCAGCAAUGCUGCCCUUUACAUCUUUGGCAUUGUAUUGUUAUCUCAUGUUUACAUACCUAGAUCACAAAACCUAGGUGAUGGUACUCAGUUCUUUCCAAGGAAUGGAAUAAUUUUGAGGCAACGUAAAAGUCAUGAGUAUAUACUACAAGGUGUGAACUCUUGGAUCCACACUAAUCUACCACACCAUUCCAUCAAACAGACCUAAAGGUCAGAGUCCAAAAGAAAUCCACAUAGCAAACAGAAGAGCUAGGAUUCGAUCAAGAUGCAACCUAAGCCCAUGUCCAGACAGAAGAAAGAGGUGUCACGCCAGACAGAAGAAAGAGGCAGACACAGAGAACCAUAGAAGUGUGAGAGGUAUUGGAGAUCCGCCGUGCUCCACACACAAGAGCAAUGAACUGGGUUCCCAAGCUUGUGUAGAAGUCUACCAAGUGUUUAAGUUGAUGGAAAAAUGCAUGGGUAGUCAGAUGAAAAUAAAGGAAAUGAGAGGGUAGGGUGCACUGUGUGGUAGAGAAGAAAAAGUCAAAGAGGAGGGGGGGCCAUGUUUUGGGGGUGAUAAAAAAGUGUUGUUGCCAGAUAAGGGAAAUUACAUACCUUGUCUUUGGGGACUGGGGAGUCCUAUGCAAGAUGUAGUCUGAUUGAACUUGAGCUCUGAAAAGAAUGAUUUGGUCGGAGAGUAGAGAAGAUUGACUUGAAUACGACAGUCAAGGGACUAAGUGUGAAUGCACCCAGGACAUCAGGGCUGCCAGACUGAGAAGCAAGCCCUUCGGACCUGCACAAACUGUAGAGAGCAUGCUGGAAGCAAAGCUGUGUCGACGGCCCCUGCUCAGGGCCAGCAUGCACUGCCACGCUGGAGAGAACAUCCAAGGACAUGGAUGAUUUUACAUUUUUAAAAGAAACUUUGACUUUUAAAAUCCAGGGUCCCUUUGAUGUUUGCCAUCCCCAGUACUGUCUAAACUCUAGAAUUAAAUACAGAAUGGUCCUCCUGCUGCAUGUGGAGAUGGGGGGGAUUCAGAUGGCGCAGCAUCAGCCAGCAACCCAGUUCAGUAUAUAAAACCUGCUUGUCCACAUGUAAUCCAGCCAUAGGCACAUAUGUAGAACACACAAAUAUAUGUGUGUAUUUAUACACGUGUGCAAAUUCAUGUGUAUACAUGUUUGUGUGUACAUGUACACAAGUACACAAGAGGCAGCUGCGGCCACACUGAACCACAGAUACGCCAUACCUCAGAGUUGCCAGGUCCCUCAGGAACCCUGGGCUCCUGCACGCCCCUUUCACAUUGUUCUUGGAAACAGAAAAGUGGCUUGCAGCUUGUGGUCAAACACAAGCUUCCUCUUCAAGGUAGCUUCCCAUCUCUUGACAGACCUCUGAAUCGUCCCUAGGAAAGAGGCCAAGGAGGUGUACAGUGCAGGUUUAAUGUUGCAGCUACGACUUCAACCCAUCUUACUAUCUGGUUGUUUCAAAGAAAGGAACCCCGUCCCCCUCCCCUUCUUCUUAUCCUUCCCACUGUUUUCCCUCCCUCUUCCUCUCUGUCUCCCCCAUUUUCUCUGACUAGUUUCCUGAGUGCAAAGCGCACACUCCUUUGAAUGGUUCCGAUUCCCCAUCUGCUAUUCCAUUUCCCUCCAGUAGAAAUGCUCCAUUUCCUCCCAUUGACCAGCUCUUCACAAGGGAUGCUAUGAACUCUCCUGCUCUGUUUCUUAAUUAUUUAAUGUGUUUGCAGUCAAUGUUCUGAGCCUGGAGAGAGUGCUGUGUAGGGUCCCUGAGUGCUUUAAGAGUACUCUCCUGGAAGCCAAAGCCUCUCCCAAGGCCCUCAGGUGGGGGUAAAAUCCUCUGGUUCUCUCACACCUGACCCUGAAGCUCACCAUUCUGGUUUAGCGUGUUCUUUUUAAUUUCUUUAUUGAUUUUACAUUCCAGCUGCAGUUUCCCCUCCCUCCUCUCCUCCCAGUCCCUCUCCGCAUCCUUCUCUGCUUCCAUCCCCCAAUCCACUCUUCCUCCAUUUCUGUUCAGGAAACUGGUCUCCCAUGAAUAUCAACAAAACAUGGCAUAUCAAGUUGCAAUAAGACUUAGCACCUGCCCAUGUUUUAAGGCUAGGCAAGGUGAUCCUGUAUGAAGAGUAGGAUCCCAAAAGCCAGUAAAUGAGUUGGAGACAGCACCUGCUCCCACUGUUAGGAGUCCCACAAGAAGACCAUGAUACACAACUGUAACAUAUAUGCAGAGUGCCUAGGUCAGUCCCAUGUAGGCUCCCUGGUUGUGAGUUCAGUCUCUGUGAACCUCUAUAAGCCCAGGUUAGUUGAUUCUGUGGGUUUUCUUGUGGUAUCCUUGACCCCUCUGGCUCCUACAAUUUUUUCUCCCUGUCUUCUGCAGGAUUCCCCCAGCUCUACCCAAUGUUUGGCUGUGGGUCUGCAUCUAUUUCCACCAGUUGCUGGAUGAAGCCUCUCUGGUGACAACUGAGCUAGGCACCGAUCUAUGAGUCUAGGCAUCAUUACAUUGACAUCAUGACAUUUUCCCCUCCAGUCGUGUUUUGUUCUAUCCUAGGUCUCUGGGCCAUCCAGCCUAUGGUUCUUGGUGCUCCAGUCAAGGGUGGGCUUAUUCUCUUGGUAUGGGUUUUAGCUAGACCAGCCAUUGGUUGACCACUCCCUCAAUCUGUAGGCCACCAUACCCCAGCAUAUCCAAUAGGGAGGACAGAGUGCAGAUUGAAGGUAAUGUGGCUGGGUUGGUGUCCCACUCUCUCCACCUGAAGUCUUACCUGGUCACAGGAAAUGGCCAGUUAGGCUACAUAUCCACUAUUGCUAGAAGUCUUAGCAGGGGUCAUCCUUGUAGAUUCCUGGGAGAUUCCCUUGUGCCAGGUUUUUACCUGACCCUGAAAUCCACCUCCUCCCUUUCCAGUAGUAUCUUUCAAUACUCCCCCACCCCUGCCCCUACAACCUGAUCUCUCAUGUUCCCAUCGCCACCUGCCUGAAGUCCAUUCACGAAAUCUCUUCUAUUCCCCCUUCCCAGGGAGAUCCAAGAGUCCCGCCUUGAAUCAAUAGCCUAGGGCUUGGUUCAGUAUAGCUAAAGUUUUUCUGCCUGGCCCACAGUCAGGACAAAUCUCUCUCACCUGCCAGUCCCACAGCAGCUCAGACCUGACCAAGUAAACACAGAGACUUAUAUUGCUUACAAACUGUAUGGCUGUGGCAGGCUUCUUGCUAACUGUUCUUACAACUUAAAUUAAUCCAUUUCUAUAAAUCUAUACCUUGCCACAUGGCUUAUGGCUUACCAGCAUCUUCACAUGCUGUUUGUCAUCGUGGCGGCUGGCAGUGUCUCUCUGACUCAGCCUUCCACUUCCCAGCUUUAUUCUCCUCCUUGUCCCGCCUAUGCUUCCUGCCUAGCCACUGGCCAAUCAGUGAUUUAUUUAUUGACCAAUCAGCAACACAUUUGACACACAGACCAUCCCACAGCAGUUCAGAUAAAGUUUCUAGCUAGAUCUUUUGCUGUUCUAGAGUAUAUCUCUAACUUGUAGUAGCUCAUUUCAUAUUAUGGCAGCAAUAAACAAUCCAAGCACCCUUUUUCUGAUCUGUCUUUGUGGGUAUCUUUGUGUAUCAUUAACAAAAGUUGUUUGCACUUCAAAUAAUUUGGCAAAACUGUUUGUAAAACCUGCAUGAGUUUGGAGCUCUGUGGUAGAGUGCUUACCUAGCACUCACAAGGCCCCAGGUUCAAGUCCCGACAACAACAACAACAACACACACACACACACACACACACACACACACACACACACACACACACACACACAUUUGUGUAUUCGUGUUCCCAGAG